AGUGAACGCUGGCGGUAGGCCUAACACAUGCAAGUCGAACGGCAGCACAGUAAGAGCUUGCUCUUACGGGUGGCGAGUGGCGGACGGGUGAGGAAUACAUCGGAAUCUACUUUUUCGUGGGGGAUAACGUAGGGAAACUUACGCUAAUACCGCAUACGACCUACGGGUGAAAGCAGGGGAUCUUCGGACCUUGCGCGAUUGAAUGAGCCGAUGUCGGAUUAGCUAGUUGGCGGGGUAAAGGCCCACCAAGGCGACGAUCCGCAGCUGGUCUGAGAGGAUGAUCAGCCACACUGGAACUGAGACACGGUCCAGACUCCUACGGGAGGCAGCAGUGGGGAAUAUUGGGCAAUGGGCGCAAGCCUGAUCCAGCCAUGCCGCGUGGGUGAAGAAGGCCUUCGGUUUGUAAAGCCCUUUUGCUGGGAAAGAAAAGCAGCAGGUUAAUACCCCGCUGUUCUGACGGUACCCAAAGAAUAAGCACCGGCUAACUUCGUG
rnacentral:rRNA from 1 species